AUUGAACGCUGGCGGCAGGCCUAACACAUGCAAGUCGAGCGAGCGGCGGACGGGUGAGUAAUGUAUGGGGAUCUGCCUGCUGGAGGGGGAUAACUACUGGAAACGGUAGCUAAUACCGCAUACCAUCAGAUGAACCCAUAUGGUAUUAGCUUGUAGGUGAGGUAACGGCUCACCUAGGCGACGAUCCCUCGCUGGUCUGCGAGGAUGAUCAGCCACACUGGGACGGAGAGACGGCCCAGACUCCUACGGGAGGCAGCAGUGGGGAAUAUUGCACAAUGGGCGCAAGCCUGAUGCAGCCAUGCCGCGUGAAUGAAGAAGGCCUUCGGGUUGUAAAGUACUUUCAGUCGGGAGGCGUUACCGACAGAGGAAGCACCGGCUAACUCCGUGCCAGCAGCCGCGGUAAUAC
rnacentral:rRNA from 1 species